rnacentral:rRNA from 1 species
GACGAACCGUGCGAACGUUGUUCGGAAUCACUGGGCUUAAAGGGCGCGUAGGCGGGCGGUCAAGUCAGAGGUGAAAUCCCACGGCUCAACCGUGGAAGUGCCCCUGAUACUGACUGUCUCGAGGGAGGUAGGGGCGUGCGGAACUUCCGGUGGAGCGGUGAAAUGCGUAGAUAUCGGAAGGAACACCGAUGGCGAAGGCAGGUCUCUGGGCAUUAACUGACGCUGAGGAGCGAAAGCAUGGGGAGCGAACAGG